rnacentral:rRNA from 1 species
AUUGAACGCUGGCGGCAGGCCUAACACAUGCGAGUCGAGCGGAUGAAGGGAGCUUGCUCCUGGAUUCAGCGGCGGACGGGUGUGUAAUGCCUAGGAAUCUGCCUGGUAGUGGGGGAUAACGUCCGGAAACGGGCGCUAAUACCGCAUACGUCCUGAGGGAGAAAGUGGGGGAUCUUCGGACCUCACGCUAUCAGAUGAGCCUAGGUCGGAUUAGCUAGUUGGUGGGGUAAAGGCCUACCAAGGCGACGAUCCGUAACUGGUCUGAGAGGAUGAUCAGUCACACUGGAACUGAGACACGGUCCAGACUCCUACGGGAGGCAGCAGUGGGGAAUAUUGGACAAUGGGCGAAAGCCUGAUCCAGCCAUGCCGCGUGUGUGAAGAAGGUCUUCGGAUUGUAAAGCACUUUAAGUUGGGAGGAAGGGCAGUAAGUUAAUACCUUGCUGUUUUGACGUUACCAACAGAAUAAGCACCGGCUAACUUCGUG